GAAGACUUUCAGUGCGAGAGUAGGGGAAUUAUUUUGUCAUUUUCGAACGUACAAUGUCUUGUAUAUUUUUAAUAUGUUGACGGUGCAACCGUAAGGGUGAGCGCAGAUACCUAUAUUCAGUUUUAAUUUAGAUCGGGCUCUUCAAAGUUAUCAAACUGCACGAGACUUUUAGUACGUCUAGACUCUGACGUCAUAUAACGUCGCUUGUAAGUAGCAUUACCAAAACAAAGUCUGAACAGGGCUUAUUUUAAUAAAGAAGUUUUAAUCUACUAUUUGUCUGCUAUAUAUCCAUCAAAUCAACGUGGGUGUAUAUUUUUUUUGGAACUUCUUGCUACCGCGAGAACGUUGUUUGUGGGGAGAAGCAAUUCGCAAAGCAUUAUGGGACCACAGGUAACUGUGGAAAAAAAUUCAUUUGGAUCAAUUUGCAAAGUCAGAAUUUUCUCUUCGCCCAGGCAUUGCUUUUAGAGCUCCCAGUGAUGAGCGGCGCUUUGCGCUGCUCGCUGCGCUCGCUAAUAUCUAUGCUUUUUCAUAUGUUAAUUUAAUAUUAUAACUGGAAAGGAUUGACAGGGAAUCAAACUUGGACUCCUGCAUAGCUUGUAAGCUGCUCUAAUCCACCCAUGCCGACAUCCCGGUCAGCACAAUCCAAACCACUAAGUGUAUCUGGUCACCAGCAAUUGGACCUGCCUGAGCUUCUUGUAUCUGAUCACCAGCAAUUGAACUUGCCUAUCUGCCAUUUUCAUCUAGUUGGAAAUGAUGUAGUUUACUCAAUGGUGUGUAGACUGUCAACAUGUGAAACCUACAUAGUCUCCUCUGUUAAAGAUCACUAAUGGUGGAUAAACAAUGAGUGAUGCAGACUGUUCACCAAAAGGGAGUUUUGACACCUGUAUGCCUAUAUUUCUACCAAUCACCCUGUUAUCUUUUUUGUCGUGUUCUUUGGACAGGUAAAAUAACAAGGUAAAACAAGUAGAAAGAAAAGGCUGGAGCAAAGAUGAGAAAAGUGAAUGGAGACAGAUUCUGAUGAUGCCAUCAUUGGGAGGCAGGAUGACUAUAAGACACUAAUUCCUCAUCCAUAAAGAUUUCUACAAGUGGUUCAUUUGAAAUGAAUACAGAUUUCAUUACAAGACGUGUGCAUGGUGCAACAUCCUGGAUGGUGUGUAGUAUGUUUGUUAACAUGUGAAGCCUACGUGUAUU